CCUACGGGAGGCAGCAGUGAGGAAUAUUGGACAAUGGGCGCAAGCCUGAUCCGGCCAUGCCGCGUGCAGGAUGAAGCAUCUAUGGUGUGUAAACUGCUUUUGUACGAGAAGAAACACUCCGACGUGUCGGAGCUUGACGGUAUCGUAAGAAUAAGGAUCGGCUAACUCCGUGCCAGCAGCCGCGGUAAUACGGAGGAUCCAAGCGUUAUCCGGAAUCAUUGGGUUUAAAGGGUUCGUAGGCGGGCUUAUAAGUCAGUGGUGAAAUCUCCCGGCUCAACCGGGAAAUGGCCAUUGAUACUGUAGGUCUUGAAUUAUUAGGAAGUAACUAGAAUAUGUAGUGUAGCGGUGAAAUGCUUAGAGAUUACAUGGAAUACCAAUUGCGAAGGCAGGUUACUACUAAUUGAUUGACGCUGAUGGACGAAAGCGUGGGUAGCGAACAGGAUUAGAUACCCUGGUAGUCCACGCCGUAAACGAUGGAUACUAGCUGUUGGGGGUCAACUUCAGUGGCUAAGCGAAAGUGAUAAGUAUCCCACCUGGGGAGUACGUUCGCAAGAAUGAAACUCAAAUGAAUUGACGG
rnacentral:rRNA from 1 species